rnacentral:rRNA from 1 species
UAGGGAAUCUUCCGCAAUGGACGCAAGUCUGACGGAGCAACGCCGCGUGAGUGAAGAAGGAUUUCGGUUCGUAAAACUCUGUUGUUAGAGAAGAACAGCGCAUAGAGUAACUGUUAUGCGUGUGACGGUAUCUAACCAGAAAGCCACGGCUAACUACGUGCCAGCAGCCGCGGUAAUACGUAGGUGGCAAGCGUUGUCCGGAUUUAUUGGGCGUAAAGCUAGCGCAGGCGGUCAAUUAAGUCUGAUGUGAAAGCCCCCGGCUCAACCGGGGAGGGUCAUUGGAAACUGGUUGACUUGAGUGCAGAAGAGGAGAGUGGAAUUCCAUGUGUAGCGGUGAAAUGCGUAGAUAUAUGGAGGAACACCAGUGGCGAAGGCGACUCUCUGGUCUGUAACUGACGCUGAGGCUCGAAAGCGUGGGUAGCAAACAGG